GUGGGGAAUUUUCCGCAAUGGGCGCAAGCCUGACGGAGCAACGCCGCGUGAGGGAUGAAGGCCUCUGGGCUGUAAACCUCUUUUCUCAAGGAAGAAGAUCUGACGGUACUUGAGGAAUAAGCCACGGCUAAUUCCGUGCCAGCAGCCGCGGUAAUACGGGAGUGGCAAGCGUUAUCCGGAAUUAUUGGGCGUAAAGCGUCCGCAGGCGGCCUUGAAAGUCUGUUGUUAAAACGUGGAGCUCAACUCCAUUUCGGCAAUGGAAACUACAAGGCUAGAGUGUGGUAGGGGCAGAGGGAAUUCCCGGUGUAGCGGUGAAAUGCGUAGAUAUCGGGAAGAACACCAGUGGCGAAGGCGCUCUGCUGGGCCAUAACUGACGCUCAUGGACGAAAGCCAGGGGAGCGAAAGGGAUUAGAUACCCGGGUAGUCC
rnacentral:rRNA from 1 species